rnacentral:lncRNA from 1 species
GUCCAUUUCUUGCAUUAUAGGUAGGGUGAGUCUAGUUUGAGUUUGCACAGUACUGUUUGCUCUUGUGAAAUUUCAGUUUGUACCUUAUAUCUCAGUAUAGUAUAAAUAUUAAUAGUACCUUAUGCUUUCAGAAGUAUCCCAGUUUGGAUGAGAAAUUAUAUGUUCAUCUUAUGCAUGUAUGUUAUAGUACCUCCAACACAAGUCAUCUCCCAACUCUCCAUAUUGAAAAGGUUCACAGCUUCCAUGACAUAAAUGAAACACUACAGUUUGGAAGAAUAGAAUAGUAAGUUUUCAUCAAAUGGAGUUUUACAUUCUAUUCAAGGAUUAAGGACCGCGCUGGCCUUUUUGGAACAAUCUGGCAAUGCCUCAGCUACAUCUCUAAAAUCUGCUCAGUACUGACACAGUGGCCACUAGGGCCAUGGUCCUUUGGAACUUCUUGACUCUAGAUUUCACCUUAAUCAAUAGAAGAGUAGUGUGUGCUCUUACUGGCAAUGAAUAUGCUAUCGAUAUUCUUGUCAAUGAGAACUUGUCUAGGAUUUGCAUAUUCCCAUUCAAAUAGAAACUACCACAUUUCAGCAGUCGGAGAGAAGGAACUGAGUUGCAUGGGCUGGUAGCCUUUCAGAAAACUGUGUAAGGCAUAUUAGCAAUAUUGUGGACUAUGAUAAGCCUGUAUAUAGUGGUAAUACUGAUAAAAUGUUGUAUAUAUUGUCUUAAAGGAAUGCAUCAAAAAUUUUCUUGUGUAAGUGUUGAAACUGUACAUUAUGUAUUUAAGAGAAAGCAAAUUUGAGGCUCAAGUAAUAAGAGAUCAUAUGCAGAUUUAGGUCUUAUAACAACAAAGAUGGAAGACUAGAGAAAAAAAAUGCUAUAACUUCUUGAUUUCACUGUUAGUAGGUAAUAUCCUUAAGUGUUUUCUCCAUAACUGCAAAUAAAUUCGAUCUCCACAGGCUGCUUUUUAUAAAAAAUGCUAAUUAAUUUGUGUCCUUGUAAUUAACUAAGGAUCUAUCUAAAAACAAAUAAAGGUGAUGUACCAUCUCCCCCACAGCAACAGAAGGAUUUUGCUUUGUGUCAUAAAUCAAGUUCAAAGAAUAUUCUUUGGUAACAUGUUAAAUUGCAAACUUUUUUUUUCUUUUGUUUGAGACACAGUCUCACUGUGUCACCCAGGCUGGAGUACAGUGGCACGAUCUCGGCUCCCUGCAACCUCCACCUUCUGGGUUCAAGCAAUUCUUUUGCCUCAGCCUCCCAAGUAUCUGGGAUUACAGACAUGCACCACCAUGCCCAAUGAAUUUUUGCAUUUUUAGUAGAGACAGGGUUUCACCAUGUUGGCCAGGCUGGUCUCAAUCUCCUGACCUCGGGUGAUCCACUUGCCUCAGCCUCCCAAAGUGCUGGGAUUACAGGUGUGAGCCACUGUGCCCGGCCAUUAAAUUGCAAACUUUCACAAGAAUUACCCGUCUUGUUCUCUUUGUGAGACAGAGAUUCAUGUGAAUUUGAGUUAAUGUUAUCUAUGCUUUGUCGUCUAUUAAUGUAAAGUUUUCCAGGAAGUAUUAUUUGACUAGAGUCAUUGUGAAACACGUACUAGAAAUUAUUAUUAAAUCCUUUGAAAAUAACCUCC